CCUACGGGAGGCAGCAGUGAGGAAUAUUGGUCAAUGGGCGGCAGCCUGAACCAGCCAAGUCGCGUGAGGGACUACGGCCCUACGGGUCGUAAACCUCUUUUGCCGGGGAUCAGUGCCCAGCUCGCGAGCUGGGAGGGAGCGUACCCGGAGAAAAAGCAUGGGCUACCUCCGUGCCAGCAGCCCGGGUAAUCCGGAGGAUGCGCGAGUUAUCCGGUGUUUUGGGGGUUAAAGGGUGCGCAGGGGUGACUUCAGGCCGGCGGUAAAAUUGGGGGGCUCACCCCCGCCGAGCCGUUGGAAACGGGGGCCUUGAGUACCGGAGAAGUACGCGGAAUGCGUGGUGUAGCGGUGAAAUGCAUAGAUAUCACGCAGAACUCCGAUUGCGAAGGCAGCGUACCGGCCGGUCACUGACGCUGAGGCACGAAAGCGCGGGUAUCGAACAGGAUUAGAUACCCUUGUAGUC
rnacentral:rRNA from 1 species